rnacentral:rRNA from 1 species
UCUUUCGGGAGAACACGACCGGCGCACGGGUGAGUAACGCGUAUGCAAGCUACCUUUGGCACGGGGACAGCCCGGGGAAACCCGGAUUAAUACCACGGUAUAGUCUGUUAUACACCUGUAUAAAAGACGAGAGCUACGGAGGUCAAAUAUGGGCAUGCGUGCCAUAAGUUAGUUGGUAGGGUAACGGCCUACCAAGGCAUCGAUGGCUACGGGGUCUAAAAUGAUGAGCCCGUACAGUGGUACUGAGACACGGACCAGACUCCUACGGGAGGCAGCAGUGAGGAAUAUUGGUCCAUGGGUGGAAGCCUGAACCAGCCAUGCCGUGUGCAGGAAGACGGCCUUAUGGGUUGUAAACUGCUUUUCUACGGGACGAACGGCUCUGACGUGUCAGAGAUUGACGGUAUUGUAGGAAUAAGCAUCGGCUAACUCCGUGCCAGCAGCCGCGGUAAUACGGAGGAUGCAAGCGUAAUCCGGAUUCAUUGGGUCUAAUGGGUGCGUAUGCGGGGUAGUAAGUCAGUGGUGAAAGCCUGCGGCUUAACCGUAGAAUUGCCAUUGAUACUGCUAUUCUUGAGUGCAGUUGAGGUAGGCGGAAUGUGUAAUGUAGCGGUGAAAUGCUUAGAUAUUACACAGAACACCGAUUGCGUAGGCAGCUUACUAAACUGUAACUGACGCUGAGGCACGAAAGCGUGGGGAGCGAACAGGAUUAGAUACCCUGGUAGUCCACGCUGUAAACUAUGAUCACAUCGCUGUCGGCGAUACAUUGUCACCGGCUGAGCGAAAGCACUAAGUGAUCCACCUGGGGAGUACGACCGCAAGGUCGAAACUCAAAGGAAGCGACGGGGGCCCGCACAAGCGGUGGAACAUGUGGACCAAUCCGAUGAUACGCGAGGAACCUUACCUGGGCUUAAAUGCAGAACGACGUACCGGGAAACUGGUACUCCCUUCGGGACGGACAGCAAGGUGCUGCAUGGUUGUCGUCAGCUCGUGCCGUGAGGCGUCGGGCUAAGUCCCAUAACGAGCGCAACCCUCAUUGUUAGUUGCCAGCGAGUAAUGUCGGGGACUUUAACAAAGCUUCCGGUGUAAGCCGUGAGGAAGGUGGGGAUGACGUCCAAUCAGCACGGCCCUUAUGUCCAGGGCUACACACGUGUUACAAUGGCCAGUACAAAGGGCAGCUACCACGCGAGUGGAUG